UCCAAGGCGACUUACAAUAAGAGCAUUCCACUAUGAGGCUACAAACACAGAACAGCAAGAAUCAUGCAAGUACAUUUACUUAACACCUUAAAGAAUAGACUGGUCCUCAGUCACAUACUCAUCCCAUAUAAAAGUACAUUUGAAAACUAUUAUGCUUCAAAUGUGAAAAGGACAUUUGUGAAGUUUUACUCUGAAAACGUCCCUUCAGUCGUGAGCGUCAUCACCUGAGGGCUCGUCCAAUCACAUCCUUCUGAAUGCAGCGUCUGUCUCACUUAGACAUGAAACUUCCGGCUCGUGUUUGCGAGGUCCAACGAGUGACUCUGUUUCCGGGGUAGAUAACUUGCUGAAGUCGAAUAGACACUGUUUCUCAGGAGGAGAGGAUGAGUGCUUGGGAAAGCAAAGCCGCGGUCCUAGUGUGGACGAGAAUAGGUGAAGAAGACUGGCGAACAGCACCAAUUUUUACGGUAAGCUACAAAGAGAAGACAUUGCUAACUGCUAAGCUAACUCUUAGAUCUGAAUAGAGUGUUAACAACUGUUGGAUUAGCAAUAAAGUUGCUAAAAGAAGAAUAGAGCAUCGAGUGCCUGUGCAGAACUAGCGCAUGUUUAAAAAUGUAUGAACUGCUUAAAGUUAACAGUUUGUUCUUGUUAAGUUUUCAUAAACGUGACUUUUUUUCCUGUUGUAUUUUGAAGGAAAAUCUCUGUCUCUUCACACCGCUGAUGCAAAUGGCCAGCGCAACGAACCGGGCGAGGCCUGAGCCAACACAACGAGGCAGUUAUUUCACAUUAGGCCUUGACUCGCUGCAGGUCCGGAUUUGCAAUGCGGAAAAUAACGCCAUUUUAUCUGCCUGUACUAUGACAUACUAAGACCCACUAUGAGCCAGUAUGAAGGAGCUUCCUGGACAUCCAACCACAGCUUGCAGCUCUUGUAGCAGCAUUUAGAAGUUUUGGAGUCGACAGAGAAGAGAGUGGUUGACAGCGGGACAGAUGACAUGGAUAAACACUGGGUCAGAUUCGUCAGAGUCCAACAAAGAACGUAUGACCAAGAGGCGGCAAAAAGACAUUUCAAGCUUCACCUGAUUAGUUUUUCACUAGCUAAGCAAGUUGUGUUUGUACAAUAUUUGUGCCGUAGGUUAAUAAAGC